AGCAACAGGUUUAUAUUUAAAACAAGUAAAAAUAUCUGCCGGUGGGGUAAGAAAAAUAAACUUAAUUUCUGUUCCAACUUAAUGCAAUAAUAAACUCAAUUUAGGUUUAUUUCCCUUAAACCACUGGCAUAUAUUUUUACUUGAUUUAGGCCUUAACCUAUUACAUUUUAGAAUUUAUUUCAGUAAACAAGACUUAAAAUCUAAGCCACUUUGCUUAAGAAAAUGCAUCUCGAUUUAAGAAUUCUUUUUUACUCGAAAACAGGAAAAAAAUACAAAGUAAACGAACAGAUUUGGAUGUUUAAAACACUUUAACACUUUUUUUUCACUCUACCCUUCAUAUUACAUACUACUUCAUAUUAGAGUUAAAUGCCCGCUAGCCUCCACCCCGAAAGCCAGCGCCUUCGCCGGCUGCCCUUUGGCUGCGUCUAUUGCGGUAUCGCUUCUCGGCCUUUUGGCUAAGAUCAAGUGUAGUAUCUGUUCUUAUCAGUUUAAUGUCUGAUACGUCUCCUACCCGGGGACUAUACGUUAAAUGGAUUUUUGACCUUCGGAAAUGGAAGCGGAGCUUGCUCCUUCCACUCCAUGCAUCGACGUGGUAUUGCAGUGUUUCCAUGAACGGUGCGCUCCCCUUCUCGGGGACAAAUAAGUUAGGUAAAAAUCAGAAUUUGUUUCUUUUGUGCGUGAAUGACAGAGUGUUUUUUAAUUCGUGUGUUUUAAAAGUGCUGUGUAUUCGUUGGCAUUAUUGGUUUAACGAAAAGCUUGCAUGGAAAUGAACACGCUGAUAACGAAAUGUUUUUGUAAUGUAUUUAAUUAUUUUCCUUACAGUUUGCGGAGGUGAUACCAGGACGAAUUAAACAGCCUCGACACAGCUGAAGGCGCAAGAAAAUCGUACGAGACAGUUUGGGAUGUUAAAAACACCUGAAAACUUUUUUUUCCACUACCCUUCAUACUACAGCGGUCGAAAAACCACAGCAACGUCGACACGCCUGGAAGCAUAGCUGUAUUUGUUUAAGACAACGGCUGUCGAAGAACCACAGCAACGUCGGCAGAUCUGGAAGCAUAGCUGUAUUUGUUUAACUCACAACGACAACGGGUAAGUCAUUGAGCCCUUGUGUUUUUAUUUAUCCACGUUCUAAAAUUGCUAUGCUUUCGUUGUUUCUCGAUUGCUCUGUACAUUUCUUUGUUUCUAUUCCACGUAAAGUUACUUUGUAAUAACGAAACGAUAUAUUGAAAUGCGCUAUUUCAAUCCAUUUGAUUUAAAUUGUUUCACGUUUUUCUCUCUGCACGGUUUAACCGGGCUGGAAACGGAAAAUGGGUAGAUCUCGAAGAAUAUUUGGUUUCAGACCUGGCUUCGUGCGCCUUUCCACCUGGUCACACACAGUAAUGAAAUGGUAGUCGGACGGCCUUCGGGGGCGCCGUCGAUGUGAUCGGUCACAGGAAGAUGCGGCCGUCUGGCCUCAAAGGCUGUUGCUCAUACUUACCUGGCAGGGGAGAUACCAUGAUCAUGAAGGUGGUUCACCCAGGGCGAGGCUCAGCCAUUGCACUCCGGUUGUGCUGACCCUUUGCGAAUUCCCCAAAUGUGGGAAUCUCGACUGCAAAAUUUCUGAUAGUGGGGGACUGCGUUCGCGCUCUCCCCUGGC